AUGCUGUGGACUUUUCGAGGGAGAUUUCGACUUGACCCCAAGGUGAUAGACAAUGUGAAGAAGAGCACAACAACACAUGUUGUUAUUUCAGCUACCAGUGGUGGGCGAGAUCCACAAAACCUUUGGUCUUAUCUAGUGCACCAUGAGGCUGCACAAGUUUCCCGCAAUAAGGAUGGUCAUUUCAUCAUUGAUCCGGCAAUUGCUGCUGAGUGUGCCAAAUAUAUGCUGAAACGAUGCUGCAUUGGCCCUCACAUCGUUGACUACGACUGGGUUGUCCACACCAGUAACUACUGGGUAUGCGAUGGGAUCAUCACACUGGCAGACAUUGAGAGAGCUUGGCAAGUUGGAGAUGUUCUACAGCGUGAGCUGCGUUUGUUGGGCACUGAAAACCGGCAUAAUAUUGGUGAUUUAACAAUAAUGCCUUCCUCUCACCUGUCAAGGUCUACCGAGCAUAUUCCGUACUGGAUUUCAAAAGCAACUUGUCGAUUUGUGCUCAACCCCUCUGGAGUUAUGCCCGAUGACAUGUUUCAGCACUCACACGGGCUCGGCGUGCUCAAGCUCUCAAGGUGUACCUUUAGCUUCUCAUUGCCUCCAUUCCUAUGUUGCCACAGCCUGAGAUUCAUGUGGCUUGAUCACUGCCAAGACAUCCAAACAAGAACGACAUAG
rnacentral:rRNA from 1 species